rnacentral:lncRNA from 1 species
UUAGUCCCGAUGCUGGAUGCCAGGAUUAGGUGUAACAUGUAUUAGACAGAUGCUGGAUGCCAGGAUUAGGUAUAACAUGUAUUAGACAGAUGCUGGAUGCUAGGAUUAGGUAUAACAUGUAUUAGACAGAUGCUGGAUGCCAGGAUUAGGUAUAACAUGUAUUAGACAGAUGCUGGAUGCCAGGAUUAGGUAUAAAAUGUAUUAGACUGAUGCUGGAUGCCAGGAUUCGUUUUUUACAAAUAACAUAAAAGUAUGCAAUUUUUCUGCAUCCUUGUAUCUAACUCUGCGAUAUAAUUAACCAAAAUCUACGCCCGCCUUUCCUGCGUUGCGUGACAUUCGCAGCCUACCCCACCAAUAAUUCUGCAUGUAUAAUACAGCGAAACAGUGAUUCUUUCUGUGUAUUUAGUAACACAAUGACUGCUGCCCCACCACAACACAUCAGCUUUAGGCAACAG